rnacentral:lncRNA from 1 species
UGGCAAAGAGUAAGAGUGAGAAGAGAGUGUGCUGAGAUAAGGAGAUUAUAGUAGAGAGAAGAAAAAAAGGUUAGAAAAAAUGGCCUCAGCAUCUCUACUAAAGUCAUCCCCAACAGUUAUUGACAAGUCUGAGUUUGUAAAAGGGCAAAGCCUUCGUCAAACUUCUGUCUCAGUUGUUCGCUGCCACCCCACAAAUGCUUCUUCUCUCACUGUCCGCGCUGCUUCCCCAUAUGCUGAUGAGCUUGUUAAGACCGCUGUAAGUUUUAGCUUAGCGAUUUUAAGUUCUAUGCAAUGUCAGUGUAAAGAUUUUUUUUGCUAUUGGCUUAAAUGGACCUAAAAUAUUUGUAAUUUUCUAUAUAUCUAGCCUGAUUUGCUACCCUGAAAAAUAGAGUAAUAGUUUGUUAUAACCGAUUAAAUUGAAAGAUUUCUUUUGAAUUGUUCAUUUUAGAUGUUCAUAUUAAAUUAGUGGUAUCUUGCUCAAACAAUGAAUAGAGUUGAGCUUAUAGUUAAAGUUGCUGAUAGAAAACCGAAAUAACUAGAUACAGAAAGCAUGAAAAGGCUAAAUUAAAUUUUAGGAUGACUGGCCCCUCUAAUCCAGCUAAUAUAAUGUCUUCCCGAGGAGCUAGAGGAAAUGCGUCUCAGGUACUUCAAUUAGCUAUUCCGUGGAGAAAAUGGGGGAAUGCACAUUUGCUUGAAAUAGUUUCCAAAUAAUUGUACGCCUUUGAUUGUAUACAAAUUCUUUACACUUUCACUCUAUAAACUUGAACUCUUAGGUUUGAGUUUGUGUUCUGUGGACCGACAAUGUAAAAACUUGUUACUGAUAGUUAAGUUGACCUAGAGUAAUAUAACUAGGUUUAGUUAAACUAAUCCUUUUCAAUAUGUAUGUGAUAACCUUGAAAUGUAGUUAUUUCAAAGAAUUCAGAAUUUUGAAUCCGUUAAGUUUCAUGUUUAAUUCGGCUUGAAUUUAAAUUAGCAAAUCAUAAAUGGAAUAAGGGCUUUAACAAUGAAGUGUUUGUUGCUUGUAGAAAACUGUUGCAUCACCAGGACGCGGAAUUUUGGCUAUGGAUGAGUCCAAUGCCACCUGCGGAAAGCGUUUGGCUUCCAUUGGUUUGGAAAACACUGAGGCUAACCGCCAAGCUUACCGUACCCUGCUUGUAACAGCUCCAGGACUCGGACAGUACAUCUCUGGUGCUAUUCUUUUCGAGGAGACUCUCUACCAGUCAACCGUUGAUGGCCGCAAAAUAGUUGAUGUUCUUGUUGAACAAAACAUUGUUCCUGGUAUCAAAGUUGACAAGGUAUAUUAACCUACACCCUCAACUUUAACGUCAAUAAAAUAUAUAGUGAACUUUUAGUAACUUCUAUUUUUAAUUUUAUGUGUAAAAUAUUGGUCUCAGAUGAGCUUAAACAGAACGACAUUAUACGUGAGGAUCUAUAUAGCCGACCCCAACUUGCUUGAAAUUCUUGUAGUAACAAGAAAGAGGAAAGGCAGGGUUAUGUAUGGGUAGCAAGAGUUUAUUAUAGGGCGUUCAAACUUUUAAGUUUGACUCUUAAAUAAACUUUAACUUGUUCAACUUAGAGUUGUUUAUAUGGCGAAACUAGCUCAGACAAGAGUUAAUCAGCCUAUGGACUGAGUAUUAAAUGAGAGGAUUUCAAGUUUAAUGAUUAAUUGGACUGAAAUGAGAUUUCUAUCAAAAUCCCCUAAUCAUUUUGUCUGUUAACAGGGUUUGGUUCCCCUUGCUGGUUCAAAUGAUGAGUCAUGGUGUCAAGGUCUUGAUGGCCUUGCCUCCCGCACUGCUGCAUACUACCAACAGGGUGCACGUUUCGCCAAAUGGUAUAUUCAAGAAUGCCUCAUAAUUUUCAAAAAUAUUGACUUUGUUAGGUCUAAAGAUGAUAUUUGCUAAAAUUAUGGUAACUUAUGCAGGCGUACCGUGGUGAGCAUUCCCAACGGACCAUCUGCAUUAGCUGUGAAGGAAGCAGCAUGGGGUUUGGCUCGCUACGCUGCAAUUUCUCAGGACAGUGGUUUGGUCCCAAUUGUGGAGCCAGAGAUUUUGUUAGACGGUGAACAUGGAAUCGACAGGACUUUUGAGGUAGCCCAAAAGGUUUGGGCUGAGGUCUUCUUCUAUUUGGCUGAGAACAAUGUCAUGUUCGAGGGUAUCCUCUUAAAGCCGAGCAUGGUCACUCCUGGUGCUGAAUGCAAAGACAGGGCCACUCCUCAGCAAGUCGCGGACUAUACUCUAAGUCUCCUUCAAAGGAGGAUUCCCCCAGCUGUCCCUGGAAUCAUGGUAAGUCUCCUUUAUUUCUAUGAAUUUAGCUAGUUUUUGACUGAGCACGAAAUUUAACAAACAAAGAGAGAUUGUCAGUACAUUGCCCAAGUAGCCUUAAAACGUGUGCUCUUAAACAUUUUAUGACAUUUCUAUGACUAUAUGAGCAUUGAGAAGUUAUUAAAGACUUAUUAUUUUCGAAAGAGAUUAAAAAGGAAAGUACCGUAUAAGAUGGAACUGAGUCAACAUAUAGAAUAUGAAUCAUUAGUAUCUGACUUCCCGUGAUAUAUAUAGAUGAAUAAGUGAAUAAACACUCAACGAGACUAACAUAAACAUUGGCACUAGGUAUGAAAUUACUAUUUAACUGGUGCUAAUUGACUCGAUAUUGUUGCAGUUCUUGUCUGGUGGGCAAUCAGAAGUUGAGGCUACAUUGAACUUGAAUGCCAUGAACCAAGCUCCAAACCCAUGGCACGUAUCGUUCUCAUACGCGAGGGCUCUUCAGAACACUUGCUUGAAAACAUGGGGAGGACAACCCGAGAACGUUAAGGCUGCUCAGGAUGCUUUACUUACCAGGGCCAAAGCCAACUCUCUUGCUCAGCUCGGAAAAUACACCGGCGAGGGUGAAUCAGAUGAAGCUAAACAAGGAAUGUUUGUAAAAGGCUAUGUCUACUAAGUUACUGC